UACAGAGGGUGCGAGCGUUAAUCGGAAUUACUGGGCGUAAAGCGCGCGUAGGCGGCUUUGCAAGUCGGGUGUGAAAUCCCCAGGCUUAACCUGGGAACUGCAUUCGAGACUGCAUUGCUAGAGUAUGGGAGAGGGAAGUGGAAUUUCCGGUGUAGCGGUGAAAUGCGUAGAUAUCGGGAGGAACACCGGUGGCGAAGGCGGCGACCUGGACCGACAUCGACGCUGAGGCGCGAAAGCUAGGGGAGCAAACGGG
rnacentral:rRNA from 1 species